rnacentral:rRNA from 1 species
CCUACGGGAGGCAGCAGUGAGGAAUAUUGGUCAAUGGACGAGAGCCUGAACCAGCCAAGUAGCGUGAAGGAUGACUGCCCUACGGGUUGUAAACUUCUUUUAUAUGGGAAUAAAAUGAUACACGUGUGCCUUUUUGUAUGUACUAUAUGAAUAAGGAUCGGCUAACUCCGUGCCAGCAGCCGCGGUAAUACGGAGGAUCCGAGCGUUAUCCGGAUUUAUUGGGUUUAAAGGGAGCGUAGGUGGGUUGUUAAGUCAGUUGUGAAAGUUUGCGGCUCAACCGUAAAAUUGCAGUUGAUACUGGCAGUCUUGAGUACAGUAGAGGUAGGCGGAAUUCGUGGUGUAGCGGUGAAAUGCUUAGAUAUCACGAAGAACUCCGAUGGCGAAGGCAGCUUACUGGACUGCAACUGACACUGAGGCUCGAAAGUGUGGGUAUCAAACAGGAUUAGAUACCCGGGUAGUC